rnacentral:rRNA from 1 species
UGGGGAAUAUUGCGCAAUGGAGAAGAACUCUGACGCAGCAAUACCGCGUGAGCGAAGAAGGUCUUCGGAUCGUAAAGCUCUGUUAUCAGGGAAGAAGAAAAUGACGGUACCUGAUGAGCAAGUCCCGGCUAACUACGUGCCAGCAGCCGCGGUAAUACGUAGGGGACAAGCGUUGUCCGGAAUCACUGGGCGUAAAGGGCGCGCAGGCGGUGAUUUAAGCAGGAUGUGAAAGGCUACGGCUCAACCGUAGACAUGCACCCUGAACUGGGUCACUUGAGUAUUGGAGAGGCAGGCAGAAUUCCUGGUGUAGCGGUGAAAUGCGUAGAUAUCAGGAGAAUACCGGAGGCGAAGGCGGCCUGCUGGACAAUACGUGACGCUGAGCGCGAAAGCGUGGGGAGCA